ACUUAGCACCCCGUGGUGGCUAGCUACGGACAGACAAACAAAAGCUGCAAUCACGUGGGCUUGCUCCAGCGUCGUGAACUCCGAAUGUGUAUAUAAACGAACCAAACUUCACCCUUCACCCUCACCCCGCACCUCAUUUCUCAUUUCCUUAUUUCUGAGCUCUCCCAAUUCUAUUUGCAUCAUCCCUCUCACUUCUCACUCAGCUUCUCGGCCAAAGUUCCUCCAGAGCCGAAAGACAUUUGUUGUGUUUGCGAUUUGCCUUCCCUAUUGGUGUCUCAGAUUUGCGUUGUCGAGGAUUGUCCCUGUCGGUGUCUCUGGCCAUAGCUUUGUUCGCGGGCAGAAUUGGUCGCCGUAUUGACUACUAACAGUGCUGACAAGACAAUCAAUUUUUUAAAUAUAAAUAGUUCGAAAGAGGGUUGGUGACAAAAGCACUGGACAUUUUCUCCCAGUUGCAUUUCAGACCAGAUAUAAGGAGGUUCUUGUAAAGGCACAUACUGCUGCAUCUGGAGCGGUGCUAAGAUUGCAAAUAGCUCCUGUUCUUGGUAGGAAAAGGAAACCAAUUGAGUGGUCUGAGUUUCAGAUAAAUGCUAUUCAUACUAGCUUUUGGAAGAUAUCUAUGGUUAUGGUUGAAGAAUGUUGAAGACAAAAUUGCCUUUUGCUCAUGGAGUGGUUCAUUUAGAUGUUCUUCAAUUUCUUAAACUGUGAUUGCUUUUGUAAAUGUACCUUAUGUACAAGUGAUAUUUUGGACAAAUGUUAUUUUUGUAGGCAUUAGUUGGGUAAUGUACACUUGAAUUUGGCAUUUGAGAAUGCUAUAUUAUUACCAUGUAAUCUAAUGCAAAUACUUUUGGUUAUCAAUCGUUCAUGUUUA